CGGAGGGUGCAAGCGUUAUCCGGAUUCACUGGGUUUAAAGGGUGCGUAGGUGGGCUGGUAAGUCAGUGGUGAAAUCCCCGAGCUUAACUUGGGAACUGCCAUUGAUACUAUCAGUCUUGAAUGCCGUGGAGGUCAGCGGAAUAUGUCAUGUAGCGGUGAAAUGCUUAGAUAUGACAUAGAACACCAAUUGCGAAGGCAGCUGGCUACACGAAUAUUGACACUGAGGCACGAAAGCGUGGGGAUCAAACAGGAUUAGAUACCCUGGUAGUCCACGCCCUAAACUAUGGAUACUCGACAUACGCGAUACACUGUGUGUGUCUGAGCGAAAGCAUUAAGUAUCCCACCUGGGAAGUACGAUCGCAAGAUUG
rnacentral:rRNA from 1 species